rnacentral:rRNA from 1 species
UUGUUUCCCGUAAGGCGCCGAAUGAGUCAUUAAAAAAUUAACAUCAUCCGAUCCCUAGUCGGCAUAGUUUAUGGUUAAGACUACGACGGUAUCUGAUCGUCUUCGAUCCCCUAACUUUCGUUCUUGAUUAAUGAAAACAUCCUUGGCAAAUGCUUUCGCAGUAGUUAGUCUUCAAUAAAUCCAAGAAUUUCACCUCUGACAAUUGAAUACUAAUGCCCCCAACUAUCCCUAUUAAUCAUUACGUCGAUCCUAGAAACCAACAAAAUAGAAUCAAACGUCCUAUUUCAUUAUUCCAUGCUAAUGUAUUCAAGCGUGAGCCUGCUUUAAACACUCUAAUUUUUUCAAAGUAACAGUCCUGAUUCCCCAAGACACCAAAUUAAUGACAUCAAGGUUCGUCAGAAGGGAGAAACCGAAAAUACCAGUACGUACCGAGGCACGACCGAUAUAUCGGUCCCGAAAUUCAACUACGAGCUUUUUAACUGCAGCAACUUUAAUAUACGCUAUUGGAGCUGGAAUUACCGCGGCUGCUGGCACCAGACUUGCCCUCCAAA